AGAUGAGCUGAUACUAAUAAGCCAAGCAUUUUUUUUAUACAGACCCAGAACUAGGGUUAUUAGCUAACAGAAGAAGUGGACAAGUAGUAUAAGAACAUUUCUGUCAAUAUAAAGGAAAAUGCAGAUCAAGGUACGAUUUAGUCAUUGAACCUGUGACUACUAAUAUGGAUUAGAGGUAGUAAUAGAUCUGUGUUCAGCUCUCUUUUGCAUAAUAAUUUUUAAAAGGGGCGAUAGAACUUUUUAACAGUAUUUGUUUUGAUCGAGCAAGGAUUGCACAACUUUUUAUCUUCCUGUUAGUCCAACUGUAGUAGAGGGGAUUGCAUGGGUAUGAUUUACCACUACUAUAGCUCAUUCUAUUUGCCUUUUCACUUUCUCUUGCUAAACCAUGGAAGGUUUGACCUCAUGCUAGGCCCAGACAUGGAGAAUUAAUUAGACCACGAGCAAUGUACUUUUAGCACCAAUUAUGAAAUGCAGUAUGCUGUGGGAAUGUAUGUUGUACAUUGUCAGUGCAUCUUAUUGUUUUGUUUUUUCCUCCAGAUUAUUUAGUCUAAUACUCGAAUAGAGAAAUAUGUAUCGGUUUUGCUGGUUCAGGUUUGCCUCUCCCUCUAGAUUAGGUUCAAAUCUUACUCUAUGGGUAGUUAAAGGUUGCAUCUUUAUGGUGUUAAUUUUCUUUCCUACUACCAAUUUGAGUCAAGUUCUGUAUUUAUCCCAUGUGCUUUGAACCAUAGUGCAAUCUGGAGGUCCUUAUUUUUGUUCUAAAGAAAUUAUUUGGUAGCUGCAUGCAAAAGCUUAGGUUUUAUUAUAUUCGAAUUCAAAGUAGCAGAAAUUAGUAUACUUAUUAAGAUUAACAACAACAUGCUAAAAUUUCGGAAAGAAACGACUGACGUGGUAUGGUAUAUUCAGCAAUCGAAUGUAUGAUUAUGUCAGUUUCAAAUGAAAACAGAUUUUUUACUUGCAGUAAUUUGCACGUGUAGGUAUGCCAUAUGCAGAGGAUAAAAUAAACAAAUACCAGUUCAAGGUCCAAUUUGGUCAGUCAUGGCCACCUUUUGUUGUUUCCACCAGACAGUUCUCGUCGUGUGGUAUCCCUGCACUAUGUGCGCUAUCCUGUGCGUAGCUCCAACACCCGUACUGAAGAUGCUGCAACGCGCCCGAGUUGCAGUGUGCAACCUGACUCCUCUCUGCCGGCAAGGUCCAAUGACCACACCUCUGUGAGCACCUCCUGUCCUCCAGCAUCAAUUGUUGGAUCUGGUGGCUACGUGGUAGGACUCAACAAGGCGUGGUUGUAAUAGGCAAAGUCCUUUCUGAAUCUUCUCACUAUAGGUUCAACAUUUGCAAGCUCGGUUGGUUUGACACCUACUUGUUCCUUUCACAUGUAGUACAUUAUUUCAGCGUCCCAAUUUUAUCUCACUUCACCUACCUCUGCUAUCCUUUCACAUGUAGUACAUUAUUCCAGUGCCCCAAUUUUAUCUCACUCCACCUACCUCUGCUAAGGGGAGUUAUAUUGAUUUGGGUGUGAUUGGGUUGACUGAGCCCUGUACAACUAACUGUUUCUGGACCAAUGGUUUUAAUUUUACUUGCUGUGAGGUGAAAUUUGUUUGAUACUGCAAAGAAUGAGAAAGAAGUUCCUAAUGCAGGUGAAAUUUUCUGUAACAAGAAAGAAGUUCUAAUGCAGGGGACGUGCAGCUUGUGGUUCAAUUAUUAAGGUAGGUUCAUCCUAUGCCUGCUCAGGGUGAUAGUCUGAACUGUAUUUCCGGAUAGUUGAGUGCAUAACUUGUAUUUAUUUGUUCAUCAAUCCUGCUCAAUUCUACUGAAAAUGAAAGUUCUAGGUACCUCUAAUUAACGAGUUACCAAUACCAUUGUACAUGUAUUUCUGAAUGGCGAUUGACUUUGAUGCUUUGACGUGAGUCUGCAUGUUUACAAGCAAAGCAUUUGGCGAUAGCCUGCAUGUUUACAUGAGUUCCAAAUUUUCACGAUUUUUUUUUUAUUUUGUGCUUCUUUGUCUCUGUCGAAUACUUCUUUUUAUUUACUACAGAAUUUGGUUUUCAAGAUUAUUUACUACAGAGUUUUGCUCUUUGGUAUAAGAUAUGCAUCACCGUUUAUUUUUUGGUUUUUGGAGUAAUAUUCAAAUUAUAAUUCCAUUCCUGUUUGUACAAGUUUAGGUAUGCACAAGUGUGAAUCGUAUAAUAAGAAUGUUGACCAGUGCUGCACCCAUUCUAAAGCUGAAGAUAGUAUAUUGUUGCUGUUUUUUUUUUUGCAUGCUUUUUCCUGGUUAUUUUUUAGUGAAGCAGCAGUGCUUUAGACUUGCAGUUUAUUAUGGUUUGCUUUUUGAAUGAUUUUUGUUCUUCGUGCAAGGCACAAGCACAUAUCUUGAUUUUGACAAACUGCCUGGGACUCUUCUGUUGUCUAUGUUUAGUUUUAUUCUCUGUAUUUUUACCAGUUUUGAUCUAUGCGUGAUUGGACAUCAGCAUGUGUGAAUGAUGGUGCCUCUACUCAUUUGUGUCGAAAAGCCCAUCCCGAUUUUCCGCUGUCCUUACUCCUCAGCAGAUGUUCAGCUGGACUUUAUUGUAAAUGUAGAGAAUGAAUUCUAUGCUCUAGAAAAAAUAGAAUCGUGUGCAUCAAAUCUGAAACACUGCGAAGGAUUUAGGAUUAGAAUUAUAGUCUCCUCACACAUGGUCUGCUACAUAUCUUAACUCGAACAAACUGAUAGCAGAUGUUCGGCUGGACCUUAUUGUAGAAAAUAAAAGUUCUCUUCUGCUUUUUUUACGUGCUCAAUCUUAUUUGGUCCCUUGCUCCUGAUUCUUUUUUAAUGUAGAGAACGAACCCUGUGCUCUGCUACGGUGAUUGAUAUAGGAGCAGGUUUGUAGUCUCUACAAACAUACUAUGCUUUGUAUCUAAACUGAAGUGAGUAACAAGUGGAGUAGAAAAUAAACGUUUGCUACUACUUUCUUUAUGUGCUCAAGCUUGCUUGCUUAUUCCUGGUUCUCUUUCCUUGUAAUGCUUGCCUAUGCAAAAGGUUGGACACAAGAUGUAUGUGUUAUUUGCUACGUAUCUUCU